CCUACAGUGCACAGCGUGUCCUGCCUCUGUGAUCUGCUCUGCCAGCGCCGGCCUUUUCCUGGGCGCUGCUCCACCUGAAGCCCUUCCCGUGGUAGCCUGGGUGUCCUGAGGGCAGGAGCUACAUUCUGCACCCUGCUCAGGGACCUGUUACCUCUGAAUGUUCCUGGUAACGGCUCAGUGAGCACUCACAGAGGAAAGCUCAGGGCUUUCCUAUAGAACCUUGUUUUGGGGGAACCAUCCUGUGUGCUUGCGUGACUCUGUCUCCACUUUGACAGGUGGCAAAACCGAUGCUCCCAGGAGUCUAGAAACCCGGUUCACACUCACAUCCAAGCUUCCAGUCCUCUGCGCACCCCACGACGACUGCCGCCCAAGCAGCCUCUCACUCCUCCAGUGUGUGCACCACGAAAGCAUGCCUACUGUUUGCGGAUCGCUUCUAAGACAUCUUUCAGAUGAAGAAGACAAGGCUUGGAAAGAUCAGGAGCAUGAUGGAGGCCGCACAUCAGGAGCCUCCAGGUGGCACAUGCCAGCCGUGACCCUGUGCUACCUGUUAAUGGCUGCGGACCCGAGAGAAGUUCAGACGGGUGUGCGAUGCUCGAGACCACAGCAGCUUCACUAGACGAGGGCACGCCAGAGUCACUUCUUUCAUGGAUUAUUGAUGCUGUGCCACUAUUAAUAAUCACUGGACCUGUUGAGCAUUUACGGUGUGGCAGAUCUAUGCCAAACCCCUUCCAUAAUUGAUUUUCUUUCGGUUAUUCCUUGCCUCAGGUAGGUAUUAUUUAUCAUCUCCAUUUUAUAGAUGAGACUGUUGAAGUUUAGGGAACUGAUAGCUCCAUUGUUCCUAUAUGAAGAUGCUGGAACUUGAACCUACCCUGACUAUGGCGAAGCCCCUAGCCAUACUCUUAAUCACUCUGCUUUCCUGUGAUGACCUUCUUUUAUGAAAAUGUUGUCUUUAAAUCCCUAUCAUGGGGGCCAGCGCUGUAGCACAGUGGGUGGAGCCGCCGCCUGUGGUGCCCUGCCGGCAUCCCAUGUGGGUGCCGGUUGGAGUCCUGACUCUCUGAUCCAGCUCUCUGCUAUGUCCUAGGAAAUCGGUGGAGGAUGGCCCAAGUGCUUGGGCCUCUGCACCCAUGUGGGAGACCUGAAAGAAGCUCCUGGCUCCUGGCUUCGGAUCAGCGCAGCUCCAGUCGUUGUGGCCAUCUCGGGGGUGAGCCAGUGGAUGGAAGACUUCUGUCUCUCUCUGCCUCUGCCUCUCUGUAACUCUGCCUUUCAAACAAAUAAAUACAUAUUUAAAAAAAAAUCCCAAUCUUGAAGCUUUCUCUGAUUUUGAAACUAGGGGCUGUGCGAUUAUUGGGGUUACAAGUAUGAGGGAUCAAUCGUUUCGUGCACUGAGUGGUCAGUGGGUUGACUGACAACAGUACUGUUCACUCAGACUCUGAAUAGGGCUGUGGGUGGUGGGAGCUGAGGGACAGGAUGCCAGCUGGGCUCCUGCUGAGUUUGCGCCCAUGUCCCUUACAGUCACAUCUGUGCCUGCCUUUGCUCAUUCCAAGCCUCCUCUCCCAGACCGAAUACAAAAGUGAUGGGGCUGGCUGUCAGAGCUAAGGACCGCUGAGGCUUCUGAAGGAAGAGGCAGCGGUUUCAGAAGAUGAACCCUGUGGUUUAGGAAGACAUCAGCUGAACUUGUGAGCUGAGCUCAUUUUGUCUGUU